AGUGAACGCUGGCGGUAGGCCUAACACAUGCAAGUCGAACGGCAGCACAGUAAGAGCUUGCUCUUACGGGUGGCGAGUGGCGGACGGGUGAGGAAUACAUCGGAAUCUACUUUUUCGUGGGGGAUAACGUAGGGAAACUUACGCUAAUACCGCAUACGACCUACGGGUGAAAGCAGGGGAUCUUCGGACCUUGCGCGAUUGAAUGAGCCGAUGUCGGAUUAGCUAGUUGGCGGGGUAAAGGCCCACCAAGGCGACGAUCCGUAGCUGGUCUGAGAGGAUGAUCGCCCACACUGGAACUGAGACACGGUCAAGACUCCUGCGGGAGGCAGCAGUGGGGAAUAUUGGGCAAUAGGCGCAAGCCUGGUACAGCCAUACCGCGUGGGUGAAGAAGACCUUCGGGUUGUAAAGCCCUUUUGUUGGGAAAGAAAAGCAGCAGGUUAAUACCCCGCUGUUCUGACGGUACCCAAAGAAUAAGCACCGGCUAACUUCGUG
rnacentral:rRNA from 1 species